UACGUAGGUGGCAAGCGUUGUCCGGAAUUAUUGGGCGUAAAGCGCGCGCAGGCGGUCCUUUAAGUCUGAUGUGAAAGCCCACGGCUCAACCGUGGAGGGUCAUUGGAAACUGGGGGACUUGAGUACAGAAGAGAAGAGUGGAAUUCCACGUGUAGCGGUGAAAUGCGUAGAGAUGUGGAGGAACACCAGUGGCGAGGGCGACUCUUGGUCUGUAACUGACGCUGAGGCGCGAAAGCGUGGGGAGCAAACAGG
rnacentral:rRNA from 1 species